GAUCAUGGCUCAGGAUGAACGCUGGCGGCGUGCCUAACACAUGCAAGUCGAACGAAGCAAUUGAAGGAAGUUUUCGGAUGGAAUUCGAUUGACUGAGUGGCGGACGGGUGAGUAACGCGUGGAUAACCUGCCUCACACUGGGGGAUAACAGUUAGAAAUGACUGCUAAUACCGCAUAAGCGCACAGUGCCGCAUGGUACGGUGUGAAAAACUCCAGUGGUGUGAGAUGGA
rnacentral:rRNA from 1 species